CGAGAUCAGUCACAACUACUUGGGAGGAGAACACAAAGACCACCAGUUUCCUGUUGUGGUGCUGGAUGUUCCGCGGUAGGCUCACAUGAAGGCAGAAUCAACCCUGACGGGGACUCAAGAUUAGUCACAACUACCUGGGAGGAAAACACAAAGACCACAAGUUUCUUGCUGUGGUGCCAGGUGUUCCGUGGCAGGCUCACUUGAAGGCAGGCUCAACCCUGAUGGGGACUCAAGAUCAGUCACAACUACUUGGGAGGAAAACACAAAGACCGCCAGCUUUAUUGCUGUGGUGCCAGAUGUUCAGUGGCAGGCUCACUUGAAGGCGAAGUCAGCCCUGAUGGGAACUCAAGAUCAGUAACAAGUACUUGGGAGGAGAUCACCAAGUCUGCUAGCUUUAUUGUUGUGGUGCCGGAUGCUCAGUGGCAGGCUCACGUGAAGGUGGAAUCAACCAGGAUGGGGACUCAAGAUCAGUCACAACUACUUGGGAGGAGAUCACAAACUCCACCAGCUUUCUUGUUGUUGUGCCAGGUGUUCAGUGGCAGGAUCACGUGAAGGUGGAAUCAACCGUGAUGGGGACUCAAGAUCAAUCACAACUACGUGGGAGGAGAACACAAAGACCGCCAGCUUUCUUGCUGUAUUGCCGGAUGUUCAGUGGCAGGCUGACUUGAAGGUGGAGUCAAU